rnacentral:lncRNA from 1 species
ACUUAACCUAUUCCUCUUGGAUUUUCCUUCCAUGUCUUACUCCCUAAUUUUAUAUUGCAUAUAUUUUUUUUUACAUUCUGUAUUUUCCACUCAUCACUUAUUUCUCUUUCAUAUUUCUUUACAGAUCUCCUUACAGUUUCAAAAGAUUUUCACUCAUUUUCUUUCCAUUUUGUUUUUCAGAUUAAACUAAAAUUCUCUUAAAUUUUCUUCAUGUCUUACUCUCUAAAGAUCUCCUUAGAGUUUCAAAAGAUUUUCACCAACUUGGUUUUAACAGAUUAAACUGAAAUUCUCUUGGAUUUUUCUUGUUGUCUUACUCUCAGAUUUGGGAUUUUCUAUUUUAUAU